GGCUUUUAUUUAUUUAUUUUUUUACAAACCAAUAAAAUCAGCCCAGUGUGGAAGAGAGCAGUGCCCAUCUGCUUUGCUUCUGUGUCGGAGGUGGGGUGAGAGUCCUGGGUCUGACUAGGGGGGCGGAACCCAGAGCAGGCAGAGAUGACGGUCGUUCUCUUUGUCCAGUGUUGUCCCCUUGCAGGAAGCUGUUCCCCAUCAUCAUCGGCCACAGGUUUCCUACAGGAUUGGCCAUAUUGAUUCUCCCCAGGUGGGGAUCACCUGAUCCACGCUGAGCCAAUCUCUGAUUUGUGCAGAGAAUUUGGAAUCAGAACCAAAAGAUUUCAGCUGAGGCUGGCUGUCUUCGCAUCUAGAGGCCAGGAGCUGUUGACUGCCGGGCUUUCUGCUACUGGCUGGAGUGGUGGACAGAGCCAGGGGCUGCAAGGAAGACGAAGAGACGGAGGAGAGCAGCAAGCCCUUGAGCUGUAGAAGCCUCAGGCCCUCACACCUGAACCCUCUCGACUCCAGCUCAGCUCUUUCCCCAUGGAUUUUAGUCACCUUGAGUCCCCAGCACCCAGCCUGCUCCUGGCCAGGCAUGCAGAACAGGUUGUGGAGUGAAUGAAUGAGGAAAGCAGUGGAAUGGAA
ensembl:lncRNA